rnacentral:lncRNA from 1 species
UCUUGUCUUUCUUUGAGUUUAGUUUUAUAACAAUUCCUAAAUUAAUCUUGAUUUAUAUGCAAUUUGAUAUAUUAUCUCUUAAACCGUUUACAAACCGAGUCGAGCCGAACUUUAUUUUAUUCAAGUUUGGUUCGCUAUUUUCCUUACGGAUUAAAAGUGGAAACAGAAGACAAAUAUUCUAAUUAGAAAUAAUUAAAAGAGAAGAAGAAAUUACAUACUUGUCAUUAC